CGGGCGGGUGAGUAAUGUCUGGGAAACUGCCUGAUGGAGGGGGAUAACUACUGGAAACGGUAGCUAAUACCGCAUAACGUCGCAAGACCAAAGAGGGGGACCUUCGGGCCUCUUGCCAUCGGAUGUGCCCAGAUGGGAUUAGCUAGUAGGUGGGGUAACGGCUCACCUAGGCGCGAUCCCUAGCUGGUCUGAGAGGAUGACCAGCCACACUGGAACUGAGACACGGUCCAG
rnacentral:rRNA from 1 species